rnacentral:lncRNA from 1 species
UUUUCCCUAAUCCAUCAUACUAAACGCCAUAUGCUGAAAAAUAACAAAGCAAAUGAGAAGAAAAAUGCUUAUGGAAAAGUGUUUAACAUGCUUUGACUAUUAUUCACCGUUAACCUCAAUCGCGUUGAAGCACAGGACAACGCUCGAACGGAUCGUACCAACACCACCAUGUUCAUCCGUCUCUCAACCUCGCACCUAACAAUCGUCAUCGUCAUUCACUGAUGCUUCACGGCUUAGGAUCGUUCAUCGAUCAGUUCUGACGCGGUAUCUCGACAUUUCGUAGCCCAACGAUUCGACUCUUACAAGAUGAGUAACAAUAGUUAUUGUAUUCUACGGUGUCGAAUCGAUCUUUUAAUCGCAUCGAAUCAGUAAGAGAGGGAGCUUACCCGAGUGAAUCGGUCAUUACUUUGGCGGAGCCAGUUGUGCACGAAUCUGAGCCUCGAUCGGAUUAUGGUACCGGAUUCUCGCAGGAUCGUUGAGCGGCGAAAACUAGAGGAUCGACAUUGACCACAAAGAGAUCUUGCAGGUAUUUGGAAGAAGGUUGGAGGCUAGGUAUGUUGUGAAUCUUGCGCGCAUGAAAGAGGAAUGGAGAACUUUCUUCAAUGUGGAGGAAGAGGGUGGAAGAACUCUUGAAAAUCGACUCCAGGAAAAAAAACAAAUUUACUAUGAGUCUCUCAAUUUAUAACUUGAAUCUUAAGUUCAAUCUCAAUUGCAAAUGUCGCGUUUCAUAUUUUGUUUAUCGUUUACGCCUCGCUGCAUUGCGUUUCGAAAUGGAAAUCAAGUUGCAUUUUUAUUUCCGGCGUUGCGUUUUGAUUAUUUUAAUUUGUUUUUUAAUUUGAUAUGUUGCAGCUUGGUGUCGUUGGUUGUGGAUCGCGUUGUUGCGUGUUUUGGUGGCUUACGGUUGGCUUGCGUCGUUUGCAGCAUUUGGAUGCCGUUUUGAUUUGCUGUUGCAUUCUGUUGGUUUCUUCUGCAGUUUGGCACCUGCGUUUAUGCUUGCUUUUCCACCUGCAAAUUGCUACUUAUUUUUUCGUUUGGCUUAUUGGAUAAUGUAAACUGUUAUUGGAUAUGGGAUUAUGUGAUUUAAUUGAUAAAUGGUUAGAAAUAGAUAAAUGUGACUAUUUGGUUUAAUGAAUGAUUUUAUUAUGGGAUUA